AUUGAACGCUGGCGGCAGGCUUAACACAUGCAAGUCGAACGAGUGGCGGAGGGGUGUGUAAUGCUUGGGAAUCUAGCUUAUGGAGGGGGAUAACUACGGGAAAGUGUAGUUAAUCCCGCGUACCAUAGGCUGAGCCCAAGUGGGAUUAGGAAGUUGUGGAGGUAAAGGCUCACCAAGCCGACGAUCUCUAGCUGGUCUGAGAGGAUGACCAGCCACCCUGUGACUGAGACACGGCCCAGACUCCUACGGGAGGCAGCAGUGGGGAAUAUUGCACAAUGGGCGCAAGCCUGAUGCAGCCAUGCCGCGUGUAUGAAGAAGGCCUUAGGGUGGUAAAGUACUUUCAGCGGGGAGGCGUUACCCGCAGAAGAAGCACCGGCUAACUCCGUGCCAGCAGCCGCGGUAAUUC
rnacentral:rRNA from 1 species